UAUCAUGAUGAGCUUGGUUUUGUAGGAAAAGAGGAAUGUGUGUUCUUCCACUGGCAUACAGUGACCCAAGGUUGAAUUACAUCAACUCUGACAUUAUCUGACAGUCUAUAGCUUUUUGUUUUUUUAACACAAUCAAGACA